ensembl:snoRNA SNORD58 Small nucleolar RNA SNORD58
CUGCAGUGAUGACCUUUUAGGACACCUUUGAAUUCACCAUGAAACUCAAACAUUGAAUCUGAGCACC